rnacentral:rRNA from 1 species
UGGGGAAUAUUGGACAAUGGGCGAAAGCCUGAUCCAGCAAUGCCGCGUGAGUGAUGAAGGCCUUAGGGUUGUAAAGCUCUUUUACCCGGGAUGAUAAUGACAGUACCGGGAGAAUAAGCCCCGGCUAACUCCGUGCCAGCAGCCGCGGUAAUACGGAGGGGGCUAGCGUUGUUCGGAAUUACUGGGCGUAAAGCGCACGUAGGCGGCGACUCAAGUCAGAGGUGAAAGCCCGGGGCUCAACCCCGGAACUGCCUUUGAAACUAGGUUGCUAGAAUCUUGGAGAGGUCAGUGGAAUUCCGAGUGUAGAGGUGAAAUUCGUAGAUAUUCGCAAGAACACCAGUGGCGAAGGCGGCUCACUGGCCCGGUACUGACGCUGAGGUGCGAAAGCGUGGGGAGCGAAC